GAAGAUGGACCUUCAAACCCUCGUGCUUCUUGUUACCCAUUUGCAGCUUGGAUCGAGCAGGGUGAACUUGAAGAACAAGCAAGGACCGCAGGACGAAAACCAAAUAUGCUGCCAAAAUGUAGAGAAACUCUCAUCGAGAAGGCUAGAACUGAAGAACUAAGCAGAUGAAUCUUUAACUCUUGCAAAGAACUUUGAAAUUCAGUAUAGGAUGUAUGUAAUAAUGCCUGAAUACAGUGAUAAACAGGUAAAAAAGAGCUUGAAGAAAACUUGAAUCUUCAAGAACAAAGCUAUAACUGCUGGCCGGUUUCAAUCUACCAAGAGAUUGAAUAGAAACAUGAAUUUUUGAACAUGAAUCUUAAAAAACCACAAUGGCUGAUCAAGAACUCAUAAAAAACAUCUGAUUUAAUUCAAAAUCUUACAAAGGAGAAGGCAAAAUUUGAAUCAAGCAGUGAGAAUCUCUAAAAAUCUCUAGGGUGACCAAGUGAGUGUUUC
rnacentral:lncRNA from 1 species